rnacentral:rRNA from 1 species
UCGAGCGGGGAAAGGUAGCUUGUCUGGACCUAGCGGCGGCGGGUGAGUAAUGCUUAGGAUCUGCCUAUUAGUGGGGGAAACAUUCCGAAAGGAAUGCUAAUACCGCAUACGCCCUACGGGGGAAAGCAGGGGAUCUUCGGACCUUGCGCUAAUAGAUGAGCCUAAGUCGGAUUAGCUAGUUGGUGGGGAAAGGCCUACCAAGGCGACGAUCUGUAGCGGGUCUGAGAGGAUGAUCCGCCACACUGGGACUGAGACACGGCCCAGACUCCUACGGGAGGCAGCAGUGGGGAAUAUUGGACAAUGGGCGGAAGCCUGAUCCAGCCAUGCCGCGUGUGUGAAGAAGGCCUUUUGGUUGUAAAGCACUUUAAGCGAGGAGGAGGCUCCUUUAGUUAAUACCUAAAGAGAGUGGACGUUACUCGCAGAAUAAGCACCGCUAACUCUGUGC